CUACGGACUUAAAUAAUUGAGCCUUGUUAAAGAGAUUUAACAAGUGUAAGUUCUCAAAUUCAGGGAAUCCUAAGUCUUUGUUAAUCUAUGAUUUAGAUAAGGCAAUCCUGAGCCAAGCUUAUUCUUAUAAAAGAUUAGGAAGGUGCAGAGACUCGACGGGAACUACCCUGUAUUAAAUAAAGGGUAAAGAGAGAGUCCAAUUCUUAAAGUCUAAUUAGAU
rnacentral:ncRNA from 1 species